UACGUAGGGUGCAAGCGUUGUCCGGAAUUAUUGGGCGUAAAGAGCUCGUAGGCGGUUUGUCGUCGUCUGCUGUGAAAACCCGAGGCUCAACCUCGGGCCUGCAGUGGGUACGGGCAGACUAGAGUGCGGUAGGGGAGAUUGGAAUUCCUGGUGUAGCGGUGAAAUGCGCAGAUAUCAGGAGGAACACCCAUGGCGAAGGCAGCUCUCUGGCCUCACCCUGACGCUGAGGCGCGAAAGCGUGGGGAGCGAACGGG
rnacentral:rRNA from 1 species